GUCAACACAAAAGAGUUGAUUUUAUGACAAAGAGACGAGAGACGAGGAAAGGAAGAAUCUGGCCCAGCAGUGCAUCACUCUGACCUAAUGAGCAGCAAACAUAGAACCAGCUGCAAAAAGCCAAAGUCAGCUGUCACUGACUGCAUUGCACACUACUAUAUUCAAAUAAAGCAAGCCUCAAGGUUAAAACAGGUCUGAUUUGAAGGCACCAUGGAUCACACAGUGGAUAUCAUCUCCGAUCCAGAUCCGUGGCUCAACACAACAACUGCAAACAGCACGUCCAGUUACAGGCCUACCAUGUCACCAGUAAUGGACAAAACCAUCAACAUAAUUAUGAUAAUCGUCUUAUUCGUGACCAUGAUUUCACUGGGAUGCACCAUGGAGGUGUCCAAGAUCAAGCAUCAUAUGAGGAAACCUAAAGGGGUGGCUAUCGCAGUCGUGGCCCAGUAUGGCAUCAUGCCUCUCACAGCUUUUUGUUUAGCUAAGCUGUUUAAGUUGGCUGAAAUAGCAGCUGUGGUGAUUCUGAUCUGUGGCUGCUGUCCUGGAGGAGCUCUCUCCAACAUCCUGGCUCUGGCUCUGCAGGGCGACAUGAACCUCAGCAUCGUGAUGACCUCCUGCUCGACGUUGCUGGCUCUCGGUAUGAUGCCUCUCCUGCUCUACCUCUACUGCCAGGGUUUCUCCGACCUGCAGAACGCUGUCCCUUAUGUUGAAAUUAUGAUAUCACUGGUCAUGAUCCUUGUGCCGUGCGGCAUCGGCAUCAUCAUCAAUACCUACAGGCCGCAGUACUCGAGGAUCAUCACAAAGUUCCCCCUGUGUUGCCACCUGUUCCUCUUUCCGUCAUGUUCCUGUCUGUGUAUUUAUAGUGUGUGUCAUCUCGUCCUCGUUGCUGGAUCGUCUGUUGAAUCUCCCUGUGAAUUCUCCCUGCGCUGUUCUCCCUGCUCGUUGUCUCCACUUGUGUUUUCCCUCGCAUUCAGGCUACUCCUUUGGAUAUGUCCUCUCUGCGAUCUUCAGACUCAGCCAGGCGGAGCGGAGGACUGUUUCUGUGGAAACAGGCUGUCAGAACAUCCAGCUGUGCAUCACCAUAUUGAAGAUAGCUUUCCCCCCAGGAAGUGAUAGGCCCUCUGUUUCUGUUCCCAAUGAUCUAUGCGUCUUUUCAGGGGGACGGAGGCAUUGGUGCUCAUCGUGCUGUUUAGGUGCUACCAAAGAUUCACGAAAAAGGAGAAAGAGACUUACCAGCCUGCGGUCACUGAAGAGGAGCUGAAAGAGACGACUGAGGGGACUGUGUGACCUCAAUCACCACCCAUGUAUUUUUCUAUUAAUGUGAACUUUUACACCACAGCGGCUCCAGACGAAGUAAACAAAACUCCUACAGCUGACUAAACAAGCAGAAAAAUGUGCAGCUGUAUAGCUUGUCAUGAUUUUUAUACUGUAUUGUGAUGUGAAACCUCUAAGUGCAUUAGAAACUUCAGUUAUUUCAGUUUUUUAUUGGUUAAGUCUGUUGUCUUUCUACACCAUGCAAACAUCAUCAUAGUUUUGACUGAAAAUAAAAUCCUCAUGUACAAAAA